CAGAGACCUCAAGCGUUAUCCGGAAUCAUUGGGCGUAAAGCGUACCGAUAGGUGGUUUUACAAGUCAGAAGUGAAAUUCCAAAGCUCAGCUUUGGGUCUGUCUUUUGAAACUGUAAAAACUAGAAGGGCAAAGAGGAAGCUGGAACAAACGGUGUAGUAGUGAAAUGCGUUGAUAUCGUUUGGAACACCAAUAGCGUAGGCAGGCUUCUGGGUGCCACUUGACACUGCUAGGACGAAAGCGUGGGGAGCGAAUGGGAUUAGAUACCCCAGUAGUCCACGCUGUAAACGAUGAUGAUUAGGUGCUAGGGAGUAUCGACCCUCCUUAGUACCAUAGCUAACGCGUUAAAUCAUCCGCCUGGGGAGUACGGCCGCAAGGCUA
rnacentral:rRNA from 1 species